UACGGGGGGGGCAAGCGUUGUUCGGAAUUACUGGGCGUAAAGGGCUCGUAGGUGGCCAACUAAGUCGGACGUGAAAUCCCUCGGCUUAACCGGGGAACUGCAUCCGAUACUGGAUGGCUUGAGUUCGGGAGAGGGAUGCGGAAUUCCAGGUGUAGCGGUGAAAUGCGUAGAUAUCUGGAGGAACAUCGGUGGCGAAGGCGGCAUCCUGGACCGACACUGACGCUGAGGAGCGAAAGCCAGGGGAGCAAACGGG
rnacentral:rRNA from 1 species